GACUCAGUGGUGUAACGGUAACACUCCGGUUGGCAUUACGUGAGUAAGAUGGUAAAUUGAAAUGAGCUGGUGAUUCCCGUUCGAUUCGGGGCUGGGUCU